rnacentral:sRNA from 1 species
UUGUCAUCGCAGGUGUUCUGCUGCUUGACCUGUUAAUUGUUGCCUGAAGGAGAACGGUGUCAGGGCAACGAGUGACUC